rnacentral:rRNA from 1 species
UUACCAGGUCUUGACAUCCUCUGAAAACCCUAGAGAUAGGGCUUCUCCUUCGGGAGCAGAGUGACAGGUGGUGCAUGGUUGUCGUCAGCUCGUGUCGUGAGAUGUUGGGUUAAGUCCCGCAACGAGCGCAACCCUUGAUCUUAGUUGCCAUCAUUAAGUUGGGCACUCUAAGGUGACUGCCGGUGACAAACCGGAGGAAGGUGGGGAUGACGUCAAAUCAUCAUGCCCCUUAUGACCUGGGCUACACACGUGCUACAAUGGACGGUACAAAGAGCUGCAAGACCGCGAGGUGGAGCUAAUCUCAUAAAACCGUUCUCAGUUCGGAUUGUAGGCUGCAACUCGCCUACAUGAAGCUGGAAUCGCUAGUAAUCGCGGAUCAGCAUGCCGCGGUGAAUACGUUCCCGGGCCUUGUACACACCGCCCGUCACACCACGAGAGUUUGUAACACCCGAAGUCGGUG